ACCUGAACAAGUAUCUUAGAUGCUCUCUAAGCUGUAAAUUAUGGAGUUAGUAACAAUCCCACAGUGAUUAUGAAAGUCACAUAUGCUAAAAUAUAGGAAAGUGCCUUGUAUAUGUCAAACAUAUGAACAGUCAUCUUUAACAAAACAUAUACAAUUAAGUUUUUAUUCCCCAUUGUAUAUUUGGAAAGAAGAUUUGUGGCGUUUUCUUAUCCUAAAGUGUGAAACCACCAAAAGCUUGGAACUUACUCAAGUGACAGCGGUUGAUUCCAGACUGCAGCUGGUCUGUGAUACAUUUGUGAAACCAGAUGAAGAAAUCAUUGACUAUAACACAAGGUAUGUACUUUUUUUUAUGACUGCAUAGUAUUUCAUGGUGUAUAUGUGCCGCAUUUUCUUUAUCCAGUCUAUCACUGAUGGGCAUUUGGGUUGGUUCCAAGUCUUUGCUAUUGUGAACAGUGCUGCAGUAAACAUUCUUGUACAUGUGUCUUUACAGUAGAAUGAUUUAUAAUCCUUUGGGCAUAUACCUAGUAGUGGGAUUGCUGGGUCAAAUGAUAUUUCUAUUUCUGGAUCCUUGAGCAAUCGCCACACUCUCUUCCACAAUGGUUGAACUAAUUUACACUCCCACCAACAGUGUAGAAGUGUUCCUAGUUCACAUCCUCUCCAGCAUCUGUCGUUUCCUGAGUUUUUAAUAAUCACCUUUCUGUCGUGAGAUGCUAUCUCAAUGUGGUUUUGAUUUGUGUUUCUCUAAUGACCAGUGAUGAUAAGCAUUUUUCAUAUGUUUGUUGGCUGCAUAAAUGUCUUUUGAGAAGUGUCUGUUCAUAUCCAUUGCCCACGUUUUGAUAGGGUUGUUUGUUAUUUUCUUGUAAAUUUAAGUUCUUCGCAGAUUUGGGAUAUUAGGCCUUUAUCAAAUGGAUAGAUUGCAAAAUGUGUCUCCCAUUCUGUAGGUUGCCUGUUCACUGUGAUGAUAGUUUCUUUUGCUGUGCAGAGCUCUUUCGUUUAUUUAGAUACCAUUUGUCUACUUUGGCUUUUGUUGCCAUUAGGUAUGCAUUUUUUAAAG
rnacentral:lncRNA from 13 species